GAAAAUUUUGGUGGUGAAUUGGACAUCAUGCGAUGUCAACUAUAUAGAUCCCACUAAUUCUUUUUGGAAAAUUUACCUGUCAUAUAUAAUUUUAAGAGUUAUUUAUGGAUGAUAAUUUUUAAUUUAAUUGCUCCAUAGCUACAGUGAUUUUUUAAUUUACCUAUUAUAGCUAUAUAUCAAAUACAUAGAGUUAUUCCAUUGUAUUAAUCUUUUCCAUAAAUCCUUUCUCUCUCAUUCUUCCAUCUCACUUUUCCCUCGGCCUGUCGCGCGUCCAACUUCGUAGCCACCCACCGCCACAGAGUGAGCAGUAACAUCAUAGAAGUCGUCAUCGGUCAUCUUCCUCGAUGAAGCUCUACCGAAGCCAAACCAAACAAUCGCCUCCUUUCACCGUGAAUCACACUUAAACACUAUAUCACCCACCAUCAGAUCCAGAUCUGAAUAACGAAGUUGGGAUCAAUCCAUUACUGGCGGCGAACAUAAUGGUGGAGGAAGACCAGAGGUGUCACUGAAUCUAGAUUUGACGGAGAUGUCGGAAUCCAUGGCUUCUUCCCUUCUUUGUAUCUCACAUCUGAGUAUAUUCGUCGGGCCGAAAAAUUAUUUCCUCCACCACUGCCUUUCAUGCCGAAAAAAGGAGCCACCUAUUUCCCCUCAACUACCUUCCACGCCAGGAAAUUGUUGUAUAAAUACAACGUAUUUUGUAUUUCGUCAAAGGUCUAAAGUGUAUAUUGUAUUUUUUUCGAAGAUCCGAUGGGACUUGAUUGUAUUCUUUAUUUUUAAAAACAGGAUAUUUUUUGUCGGACAUUUGGCCGAAUUUAACUGUAUUUUUUUUAAUGUAAAUGUAGCAGUUUGAGUGCCUCUAUGGUCAUUUUACCCGAUUAGUAGUAGUAAAUGCAGACUCCCC
rnacentral:lncRNA from 1 species